UACAGAGACUGCAAGCGUUAUUCGGAUUCACUGGGCGUAAAGGGUGCGCAGGCGGCCAAGUGUGUUAGGCGUGAAAGCCCGAGGCUCAACCUCGGAAUUGCACCUAAAACUACUUGGCUAGAGUACUGGAGAGGGAGGCGGAAUUCACGGUGUAGCAGUGAAAUGCGUAGAUAUCGUGAGGAACACCAAUGGCGAAGGCAGCCUCCUGGACAGUUACUGACGCUCAGGCACGAAAGCGUGGGGAGCAAAAGGG
rnacentral:rRNA from 1 species